rnacentral:rRNA from 1 species
ACUUAAAUUGAAGAGUUUGAUCAUGGCUCAGAUUGAACGCUGGCGGCAGGCCUAACACAUGCAAGUCGAGCGGCAGCGGGAA